rnacentral:rRNA from 1 species
GCAGUCGAGGGGUAUAGUAGCAAUACUAGAGACCGGCGCACGGGUGCGUAACGCGUAUGCAAUCUACCUUUUACAGAGGGAUAGCCCAGAGAAAUUUGGAUUAAUACCUCAUAGUAUAACGAGUUCGCAUGAAUUUGUUAUUAAAGUCACAACGGUAAAAGAUGAGCAUGCGUCCCAUUAGCUAGUUGGUAAGGUAACGGCUUACCAAGGCUACGAUGGGUAGGGGUCCUGAGAGGGAGAUCCCCCACACUGGUACUGAGACACGGACCAGACUCCUACGGGAGGCAGCAGUGAGGAAUAUUGGUCAAUGGGCGCAAGCCUGAACCAGCCAUGCCGCGUGCAGGAUGACGGUCCUAUGGAUUGUAAACUGCUUUUGCACAGGAAGAAACACUACCUCGUGAGGUAGCUUGACGGUACUGUGAGAAUAAGGAUCGGCUAACUCCGUGCCAGCAGCCGCGGUAAUACGGAGGAUCCAAGCGUUAUCCGGAAUCAUUGGGUUUAAAGGGUCCGUAGGCGGUCUAAUAAGUCAGUGGUGAAAGCCCUACGCUCAACGUAGGAACGGCCAUUGAUACUGUUAGACUUGAAUUACUUGGAAGUAACUAGAAUAUGUAGUGUAGCGGUGAAAUGCUUAGAGAUUACAUGGAAUACCAAUUGCGAAGGCAGGUUACUACAAGUGGAUUGACGCUGAUGGACGAAAGCGUGGGUAGCGAACAGGAUUAGAUACCCUGGUAGUCCACGCCGUACACGAUGGAUACUAGCUGUUGGGAG